GCCAGGCAUGGUGGUGUGUGCCUGUAAUCCUAGCUACAUGGGAGGCUGAGGCAGGAGAAUCGCUUGAACCCAGGAGGUGGAGAGGUUGCAGUGAGCUGAGAUUGCACCACUGCACUCCAGCCUGGGUGACAAAGCGAAACUCCGUCUCCA
rnacentral:SRP_RNA from 1 species